AAUACAGGACGCCCAAUUAAAUUUGAAUUUCAGAUUUAAAAAAUGAAUAUUUUUUAGUAUAAGUAUGCCCCCAUGUAAUUUUGGGGACAUACUUAUACUAAAAUAUUAUUCAUUGUUCAUCUGAAGUUAAAUUUAACUGGGCAUCCUGUAUUAU
rnacentral:miRNA from 1 species